rnacentral:rRNA from 1 species
UACGUAGGGGGCGAGCGUUGUCCGGAGUUACUGGGCGUAAAGGGCAUGCAGGCGGUCCGACACGUUUUGUGUGACAGCGGGUGGCUUAACUACCCGAGGAUACGAAAGACGGUUGGACUUGAGGACUCGAGAGGGACACGGAAUUCCGGGUGUAGUGGUGGAAUGCGUAGAGAUCCGGAGGAACACCAGCGGCGAAGGCGGCAUCCUGGACUGGUACUGACGCUCAGGAGCGAAAGCGUGGGGAGCGAUCCGG